rnacentral:lncRNA from 1 species
CAAACACAUGGUUGUUUCUAGUAAAGGAUGUGUAAAGAAUUUUUCAUAGAGUACCCUGGGCAUAAUGUUGACGCUGGAGCCAAAGUUGCAGAGUGCUUCUGGGAAGUCCACCAUGCCGAUGGAAAUCGGGAUGACGGGCGUCCUGGUUCGCCUCUCUUGAUUUUGUUGAGGAUGUUUGUAGUAGUAGUUGUUGUUGUUUGUUGUUGAUGUAGUUUACGUCCUCAAGCAUCUCAGGGCAGUGAUUGCCUGAGUGUCUAGUAUCUCCAGUGUGUUUGUGCUCGUAGAUCUAGGUUCUUCACUUGGUGGAGUCUGG